rnacentral:misc_RNA from 1 species
CUCCUCUUAAGCGGUGAUAUGUGGUGUGCACCAUGAAAAGCAGCAGCACGCAAUAUAUUUAAUGGCCCAAAAUCAACCGAGUAUGCCUUCUGGAAACCAUCCAGAAUGGUCAUCAAUUCACAUUUGCCGGUUUCCGCUCUGCUUCAUAUUUUUUAUACCUGCAAAAAUUCCGCAAGUGUUUUGAGUAGCACCAUAAAUGAUCAGGAAGCAAUCCUGCUCCAGCUAACCAUCCUCAUUCGGUUGCUAGCCAGAAAUCCAAGCAUACAACUAAUGAUAAUAAUCUGUAUGCAAGUCAACUGAACUAAUUGCAGAAGAAGAUUAGAAAACCACGAAAAUGGAAUGCGUUUUUAUGGAUUCACUUGUCAGUGUCUUGUAAAUAAAACAGGUUACCAAAGUAAAUAGAGAUUCAUGCAUCAAGAUGUGAAACCAAACCAUAGAUAUAUGGAUUGUUUAUGCCGAUAGAUAUUUUAGCAAAUACCAAUCAGAACACAGUCAGUUUUUGUGGUCAUAUAAUCAAGAAAUCUAGAAGAUGGUGUACCUCCCCAAUAUCCGUGUCUACAGCAAUAACCUUAGCAUUGACUCUUGAAAAGGGAAAUGCAUCUCCAAAACCCAAGUUAACCCCUUGCCCAGCUAAUGGAUGAACUGUAUGUGCUGCAUCACCAACUAGAACUACACAUUUUGAGGCACAGUUCUUAGAAUGCAUCAAGGACGGUGGAAAUGCCAUCCUAGCAGAACUCGACCAUUUCUGGUGGAACUUCAAAAGAAUCAUAACCUGAAAUUACUAAAUUUCCUCUUUUCCAUGAAAACAUGUCUGCACCGCCUAAUAAACUUGACUUUGGAUGGGGACCAUAUCCACGACCUAGAGCUUGAUUUAUAGCUUUCACAAAAUCAUACUCAUUCAUUGAUUUACAAUCUGAUAAUUCCUUUGGGUUCAUAGUCCAGACAAUAUUGCUAAACUUCUACCCCAUAGGCAGAAGUGCAAUUGGACCUGCUGGUAGAAAACGUUGCCAUGCACACUGAUUUUCUACAAAUUGCUCUACAGUGCAGAUGACCGUGUUCUAUGAGUAGUUGCACCCAGUUUUUUUAAAUCCUGCCAACUGUCUAACUUGUGACUUGGAGCCAUCAGCUCCCACCCUUUUAUAAUUAUCAGUGAUGCAUUUUCUAGCAGCUCUCACCCAUAAUAGGAUUUCUAAAUUAUUUCAUUUGCAUUAUUUUUAUAAGGGGUAUAAAACUCCCUCAGCACAAAAUUUAAAUUACCAUAAACUUUGCGUAGAGGCUGCUGCCAUCACUCAGUUCCAGCUUCACAAAACAUCCCUUAAUGUAUAAUGCUUCUGUUGAUGAUGUGCUGUCCACCACAGUCGAUGAAGUGCUUGGAUGUAGGGACAUUGAAGCUAAUCUAGAAGGGUUGAUUUUCUUUUGCAAGUCAGUAUACCGUAUGAUUAAUUUCUUAGUUUCAAGAAUUGCAAGCAAAAAAAAAACCCUUUAUGGUAUGCAUAGUAAUGGGUUCAGCUUAUUGAUGCAUCAGCAAGAAAACUAGGAGUCUGUAUCCAUCAACUGUUCAUCAGAAGAUAACAUGCACCAAGGGAAUCAAGGAGGGUAUGCACAAGACUGCAUUACAUAGUAUCAUCUUAUCUUGAUAUUCAAUAAUUCUCAUAGAUUAUUAUCUGGCUUGGCAAGAGUUAAUCCUCCACAGAAGGUUUGAAGAUAGAAUUCAUAAAUCAAGGGUGACUUUCAGGUUCACAUGACAGAUACACAUCACACACUGGAGGAGCAAAAUGAGAGCAUUAUAAGGUAAGAAUUCAAGGAUAAAAGGCUAAUAUUAUAGGUUUCAACUCCUAAGAGGCCCAGCUGUGUGGCGAUCUGCUAGUUGUACUUGCAAAGAUAAUGAUAAUGAACUCAAGAUUGCAUUUAGAUGAGAAUUUAAAAUCAAGUAUUUGAAUAUGAGCUUUAAUUAAAGAUUUAUACUUAUAAAUGAAGGGGAAGAAAAAUCUUCAACUAAGUUUUAGAAGAUGUAUUUACUCUCAUACUUUCCUUCGAAAUCCCUCCUCCCACUUACAAAUGCUACUCACAGAGAUGAUCACAUGCGAUUCCUUAACAACUAGUUCCCUACUCUUAGCCCAAAAAAAAAAAAAUAUUACACACUGGAAGCAAAUAAAUGAAAAAGAGAUGCAAGAAAAGCAUUAACACUUUUCACAUAGGGGAUGAAACUUCGCAUAUUUGAUGUGUGACAAGGACUUGCACAAACUUCCAAUGAUUGGGCUAUAUUAUUGUAAGUAUUCUUCCCCUAUACCAUAAACUCCUAGAGCAUCCUUUAGUUUAUUUAUAGUUUCGCUUAUGAAAAACAACUAAGAUGGCAUUAACAACAAUAAAUCUGUAUGGGAAAAAUUGGAUAAUUUCUUAGCAAGAAAACCCCAAAGGAAAUAAAAUGUAGAGUCCAAGAAAUAGACAUCCCUAAUAUGGGUAUAAUCCAUGCAAAAGAUAGCAUGUUAUUCCAGAAUCUCUAAAAGUUUAAUUAAGCAUACGUAAAUAGUUUAAUCAAGUAUAAUACCUCAACAAGUGAGAAAAGUGAACUGUGAAGCACCCUGUUCUCCACUACACAACCCAAAACAUCUUAUUUACAUCUCUUGCAUUGUACUUUGUGUAUCUUGAGCCAGUGUAAACCUCCAGAAAAUAAUAAAUUAUGAGAUGGUAAGCAAAAUUUAUUUUGAUAUUUAAUUGGUUUUAUUUCAAAAUGAAAGAUGCAGUGCAAAGAUAAUAUGUGAUAUGCAGCUUUCUGGUGCAGAUUCUAUGCAAUAGAAUAAAAGUAAGCAAAUAUGAAUCACCUGCAUAUAUCAGAAAACACAUGCCGAUGCUGUUGAACAUAUUGCCAAGCACCAAUAUCUGCAAAAAAUCACUUAUGUCCAGACUGUGUCAUGUGAUAAGGGAGGAUGUCACUGUUGCAGCAUAUAAAAUCAAGAAGAGUGGAACAUCUGCACAGUAUAUAAGUGUCUUCCAACGUGAUAAAAAUUUCUUGGCUUUCAGAUGACAGAAGUUGUUAAGCAAGAAUGAAAAGCUCAAUUAGAUGACAUCAAACCUCAACUGUGAAUUAUAAUACAGUUGGAUGGAGCAAUGAUAUACUGCUAAGGUCAGCCAAAAAUAGAUGAAGAAUCAAAAUGGCAUAUUUAAUACCUCUGAAAAGAGAUACAGUUGCUGGUGUGACUCUAAUAUUCAACGCCAUCAACAAGAAUGUCUCCACCUUUCCUCUUAUCUUGUUUCUACUAUUAUCUACUCAAAGAAGAGAUGCAAACCAGGAACUGGAGAAAAAAAAAAAACGCCCAAGGAACAAGAUAAGGCCAUGCCAACCAUGCCUCUCCCAACAAUAGCAAUGUCUUAUGGAUGAACUGUACGAGUAAAACUCUGCUUGCCCUCAUGCGUAUGGUUGCUAAUCUGGGUAUAGGUAGAUGCAGUUGGAUUUGCUGCUCCACCACUACACACGUUCUUCCAGGGAACUUCUGAUUGAUAAGCAUUAGUAGCAGCAGCAAGUUUCCUCGCGAUCGCUCUGCGGUGGAUUAAAUGGAAUAAAAGAAGAAGACUAUGUUCAUCGAGUGAUGAGAUGCCAAAUGCUUAG